rnacentral:rRNA from 1 species
GACGAACGCUGGCGGCGUGCUUAACACAUGCAAGUCGAGCGGUAAGGCUCCUUCGGGAGUACACGAGCGGCGAACGGGUGAGUAACACGUGAGCAAUCUGCCCUUCACACGGGGAUAACUCCGGGAAACCGAAGCUAAUACCCGAUACGACCACUUCAGGCAUCUGAUGGUGGUGGAAAGUUCCGGCGGGGAAGGAUGAGCUCGCGGCCUAUCAGCUUGUUGGUGGGGUAACGGCCCACCAAGGCAACGACGGGUAGCCGGCCUGAGAGGGUGACCGGCCACACUGGGACUGAGACACGGCCCAGACUCCUACGGGAGGCAGCAGUGGGGAAUAUUGGACAAUGGGCGAAAGCCUGAUCCAGCAACGCCGCGUGAGGGAUGACGGCCUUCGGGUUGUAAACCUCUUUCAGCAGGGACGAGGCGCAAGUGACGGUACCUGCAGAAGAAGCACCGGCCAACUACGUGCCAGCAGCCGCGGUAAAAC